GGAAGGCCACCCAUGACAGAUAAUUUUGGUUAUUUUGGGCGAUGCAAUUCAAAGGGUGAUUCGGUUGAAAGAAGAAGUCGUGAAGCUUAAGGAGUCUACUCAAUAUUUUCAUGCUUAAAUUAACGAAUUAAAGAUAUUUUUUUUUUUUCCAUUAUGCCUUUAUAGCUCUUUUGGAGAUAAAACUUGGACAUUUUAGAGUAACAUCAAGCCCCACCACGCGUAUGUGGAGCUCUUGUCCUAGCUUUCUAGACAUAAACACCUUGGAGCGUUUUGCGCUUUUUAAAACCAAGGUCACCGAGUUCUUUAAACUGAGACGGUGGGGGCAUCUUAUGAACAUGAAACUGUUGCAACUAGCAAAUCAUAUGUUAUAGCUAUCAUCUCUAUGAUAUGCCUGCUAGAUUGUCUCAAACUUUCCUUUCAUAUUCUAUUUUCAGGUCGGACUGGCAUUUUGGUCCAUGUGUCUUGUUUGGGCGCAAUUAUGAAGCAGUGAGAGAUGCCUAUGCCGCCUCCACCGUUCCAUGUGUUCUUCAUGCGAUUUUUGUAGAGGGUCUAGCAGUUGCUGCAACAACAGCAACACUCAAUUGGGUUAUUGACCCAAUGACAUCAUAUUACCUUUUCGAGGGGUUGGUGGUUGUGUGGUGCAUGCGCUAACAUUGUUCGACUAAUGCUACACAACAAAUACCAUCUUGAGAACGACCCCUGUGAUCCAUGUUUGGUGCACUGAUGCUUUUAUUGGUGUGCUAUGAGCCGGGAACACAGGGAGAUGAAGGCGCGCCUGUCUGAUAACUCUGCGAUGCAGCGAUGCCAAUGACCCUGGUCAACACCCCUUCUGUUCAAAAAUCAUAUGGGUUAAACAUUAUUCAGAACUAGGGGUGUUAAAUGGGGCAUGUUUCCGGAUUGGCUUCAGAACUAGGGGUGUUAAGUGUGUUUUUUUUUUCAUCUCUUAUUUUUUUUUAUAUUUUAAAAAUCCGAAUAUGCAUGUGUUUUGUGAGAAGAAAAAUAAAUUAUUUGGGCGA